rnacentral:rRNA from 1 species
AACGGGUGAGUAACGCGUGAGGAACCUGCCUCAAAGAGGGGGACAACAGUUGGAAACGACUGCUAAUACCGCAUAAGCCCACGGGUCGGCAUCGACCAGAGGGAAAAGGAGCAAUCCGCUUUGAGAUGGCCUCGCGUCCGAUUAGCUAGUUGGUGAGGUAAUGGCCCACCGAGGCAACGAUCGGUAGCCGGACUGAGAGGUUGAACGGCCACAUUGGGACUGAGACACGGCCCAGACUCCUACGGGAGGCAGCAUG